rnacentral:lncRNA from 1 species
AAUAGCAGGAAGGACCUAUAAAACCAGGAUAUUGGAACAACAAAAGAGAAAAGGAAGAGACAGCUGUUAAGUUCAGACAAUAGGCUAGUGUUCUCCUGUGCGCGGGCAUAGCUCAGGUCAUGAGGAGCAUAGGGUCUUCACAUAAUCACACUUCAAAAUACGAACUGCCGCAGGAGACAAUCAAUGGAAGAAAAAUAGAGGUUUAUUUGUGAUGCAGCUGCUUCCCUGUGAAGAAGUGACUGUCCUGCAUCCUCCCACCCUGGGGACCCAGAAAUGGGACCCAAGCUGUCAGAUUCAUAGAAAGCUGAAGCAUUUCAGAUCAGACCACCUGCUCCCCACAUCACGUCAAAUCCAGCAGUGGUGUUUGCAGUUCUAUCUGACAAAAAUUUCACAGCAACAGCAAAAGCAAAGUUCGGAGCAUUACACAUCCACAAUCAGCUGAGCAGGUGUUGGGUAUUUGGUCCCAGAAAUGAGAAAAGUGACUAAGAUAUGGAUCUUGAAGAAUAAUGAAGAAUUUUAUCAAAGUAUGUGGGAGAGAGAGAAACUUUCAUGUUUCAGGUAAGCAUGAGGAAUGGUCUGGAAGUAUGUUUAUGG